rnacentral:rRNA from 1 species
GAUGAACGCUGGCGGCGUGCCUAACACAUGCAAGUCGAGCGUGAACCCUUGGAAUGAAACUUCGGUCGAAUGAAGAGGGGGAAAGCGGCGGACGGGUGAGUAACGCGUAGGUAACCUGCCCCAUACAGAGGGAUAGCCUCGGGAAACCGGGAUUAAAACCAUAUAACACUUAACUGCCGCAUGGUAGUGAAGUCAAAUCGAUUAAGAGGUAUGGGAUGAGUUCGCGUCUGAUUAGCUAGUUGGUGAGGUAAGGGCUCACCAAGGCGACGAUCAGUAGCCGGCCUGAGAGGGUGAACGGCCACACUGGAACUGAGACACGGUCCAGACUCCUACGGGAGGCAGCAGUGGGGAAUAUUGCACAAUGGAGGGAACUCUGAUGCAGCGACGCCGCGUGAGUGAAGAAGGUCUUCGGAUCGUAAAACUCUGUCCUUGGUGAAGAAAGGACGGUAGCCAAGGAGGAAGCCCCGGCUAACUACGUG